rnacentral:lncRNA from 1 species
AUUGGACUAUUGCACUGAUCUCUCUCCUCAGUUACUGCACUCGCAUAAAAACAAAACGCUAAGAAUUUAUUUUAUACUGAUGCAAGUAAUAGUUAGAUAUAAGGAGUAUCCCAUGGUAGAGAGGUCUCCAUUUCGUUAGGUUCUUAUGUUGAAAUAAACUCAAAAAUCUGAUAACAAGAGUUUUGUCUGAGCAGAUAAAGAGAAAAUGGUGACGUCAUUGCUCUGAACAUUAUAAUAACUCCUCUGUGAGUGUUAUGCUCUCCUCAUAACAAAAAAUGGAAAUUGUUUCAAAACUCGUACUUCCCAAAAACACCAAGUUGAUGGUCCUCUCUGUUACUGCCACGGCAUCAAUGGUCUGUUUAAAGCCAUAUCUAGUACUUAUGGGACUGAAUCGCUACAAAUGUUUCUGAAAUGAAAUCAUGAUGGUGGACUAUUGUUGGAUGCUGUAUCGUGAGAAUCUAGGCAAAAUACACAAAAGAAAGACUCAUCACAAUGCUUCUAAUAUAUGUAUAAUCUUUAUGUAUGUUGAUUUUUCAGGUCACAAAAAAGCUAUGGAUUUUUAGUUUUUGUUUCUAAAAAUUUUAGUUUUUGGAUUUCUUUUCAAAAAAUCCCAAAAACCAGGUCCCCUCCUAAAUAUAGUCCUGCAGACUCUCACUAAAUCUGAAAAUGCUUUGUGCUGGUAAGGGAUACUUGGGUUAAAUAAUAAAUAUUUUACAAGUGGUACACCACUAAAAAAAGGUUGAAAAUCCCUGAUCUAUGAUAUAGCUAACAUCUUUAUAGGAAUAAGAAACACAGAGAAAUAAAAUCAUUUCUAUUUAUCCCUUCAGGUGAGUUUGAUUUCAUUAUAGAGGAGAGACUCGAAAGUUUUUGCUGGAAAUACAGUCAGUUGAUAUCAUGCGUCUGAGAAUGUGGGUAUGCCGUCGCAAAUAAAUAUCCAUAAAUCCAAAGUUUGACAGAAUAUCUUAUAUAAUUAAAGUAACUACAAUUUAGCUCCUUAGUUGUUAUUAGUACUAUUUAUGAAAAUCAGUUAAUAUCUAAAAUUUCUAAUAAAAAAUAACAACAAAAAAAAUCUGAUUUUUUUCAAAUCUUUUUUAUAUUUUAAAUUUGCAAAUUCUUUGAACGUAAAUAAGUCAAUAGAAAGUAAAAAAUAGAAGCCAUUAGAUAUGUUGUAAUUCAAAAAUUCUAAAUUGGUGUAGUUUGUUCAAAUCUGGUAAUUAAAAUAGGAUUUAUUCAGGAAAAAACAACAAUUUGAAGAACUUUACAAAAUCACAAUUAACUAAUUAUUUAAUCAAUUAAUCAUCCAGAAUUAUAAAAUAUUGUUCUAUGUUGAUUGUAUUUUGCAUCUUUUUGUAUAAGUUAACUAUCCCUCUAUAACUUUUUAAGGAAAAGUUAUUUAAAGAGAAAUACAUUAACGAAAAAAAAUCUGGGUAUUAAACUACCAAAGUACGGUGUAUGGACAAUGGGGGACGUUGCCUAUCUGAUAUGAUUUUCAAAACUGUUUAAAAAUUUUUUAAAUAAGUACAAAUAUUAUCAAACAAAAAUAAAACUUUUUUGAUUUAUCAAACUUGUUUAAUUGCUGUUUGAAAAAAGGAAGUUAAGCUGUUGCACCCUGUAAAAUGAUAAAUAAUAAAGAAUUUCAGCCAGCCAUAAGGACGGACACUCACUUAUGUCUCCAGUCCCUAGUACGAGUCGUUGGUUGUCUAUCUAACAUCUUUAUAGGAAUAAAAAAAACAGCAAAAAAUAAAACAAUUUUCAUGGAUCCCUCCAAGAGUCCAGACUCUACAAUAUUAAUAUAAUUCAAUUUUUUUAUGUAUAGCAGAGCAUUCAUAAAAUGAGAUGUCUUUUUUUAUAUGAUUAUUUUUGAUGGUAUGUUUUAACAUGUAUAGUAUAUAUUAUAUAUACUAUGUAUAUAGUAAGUGUCCUAUUAAAUGAUAACUUCUAUAAACAAUAAUAAUAACGACAACAAAAACAAAAUAAAUAGACAUUAUUUUAAA